ACGCUAUCACUCCUACGGGAGGCAGCAGUGGGAAUAUUGCACAAUGGGGGAAACCCUGAUGCAGCCAUGCCGCGUGUGUGAAGAAGGCCUUCGGGUUGUAAAGCACUUUCAGUAGGGAGGAAGGUAGUGUAGUUAACACCUGCACUAUUUGACUAGUCACUACAGAAGAAGCACCGGCUAACUCCGUGCCAGCAGCCGCGGUAAUACGGAGGGUGCGAGCGUUAAUCGGAAUUACUGGGCGUAAAGCGCAUGCAGGCGGCCUGUUAAGUCAGAUGUGAAAGCCCGGGGCUUAACCUCGGAAUUGCAUUUGAAACUGGCAGGCUAGAGUCUUGUAGAGGGGGGUAGAAUUUCAGGUGUAGCGGUGAAAUGCGUAGAGAUCUGAAGGAAUACCAGUGGCGAAGGCGGCCCCCUGGACAAAGACUGACGCUCAGAUGCGAAAGCGUGGGGAGCAAACAGGAUUAGAUACCCUGGUAG
rnacentral:rRNA from 1 species